rnacentral:rRNA from 1 species
UACAGAGGGUGCGAGCGUUAAUCGGAAUUACUGGGCGUAAAGGGCGCGUAGGUGGUUGAUUAAGUCAGAUGUGAAAUCCCUGGGCUUAACCUAGGAAUUGCGUUUGAAACUGAUGAGCAAGAGUAUGGGAGAGGGAAGUGGAAUUUCCGGUGUAGCGGUGAAAUGCGUAGAUAUCGGAAGGAACACCAGUGGCGAAGGCGACUUCCUGGCCUGAUACUGACACUGAGGCGCGAAAGCGUGGGGAGCGAACAGG